rnacentral:rRNA from 1 species
UAAACGACUCUCGGCAACGGAUAUCUCGGCUCUCGCAUCGAUGAAGAACGUAGCGAAAUGCGAUACUUGGUGUGAAUWGCAGAAUCCCGUGAACCAUCGAGUCUUUGAACGCAAGUUGCGCCCGAAGCCUUCUGGCCGAGGGCACGCCUGCCUNGGCGUCACGCA